rnacentral:rRNA from 2 species
GAUGACCUCGGAUCAGGUAGGGAUACCCGCUGAACUUAAGCAUAUCAAUAAGCGGAGGA